UUAUUACAUUUUUAAUUCUCAUUACAAAAUGUUUGAUCAUUUGUUUUGAUAUUUAGAAAAUAAAAUAUAUUUUUAACAAUAGAUUCCUAAAAUAAAAGAUUGUGAUGCUUUAGUUUGAGGAUUAUCAUAGAUAAUAGAUGAAUAGGCAUCAUCUUCUAUUUACCAUCAUCUGAAUUCUUGUUUCUCAAAUAUUCAGAUUAAUAUGCAUACAUAAGCCAAAGUAUCACAAUGAUUCAUUAUGACAAAUUAUCAAUUACAAGAUGAAGAAAAUUAUAGAAUUUAAGUUCAGUGUGAUUGUUACCCACUGCUAAUAAUAAACGUUUCCUGACGCUCCAUACAGGAAACAGUGUUUAGUUUUUGUAUGAGGCUUUAUCACGGUGUUAUUUGGGGUGGGCACUGUGAUAUACAGCUGUACAAAAACCUGAGAGCAACAAUCUUAAACUAUCCUAUUUUAAAGAUGGACAAAAGGGGACUGGACAAAAUAUCUCACAUUGAACUAUAAGGAAACUAAUGUGUAAUGGUUUUUAUAAGCAGAUUUUUAGGUAAAAGUUGUUUAUUUAGUAGUUUGAAGUCGUAGGUAGUUCAUGUAUGUAAAUGUUAUUCUUAGUAAAUCUCAACUUUAAAAAGAGUCAAAGACUCAACAUGAACAUACGCUUAUAGGGGGACACUAGAGUUUCCUACAGAUCAGGACUUGGUGGUUUUCAAACCUUUAAUAAGGUGUUUUUCUGGUUCUUCAGGUUUUUGUUGAAGCAUUGAGUUGAGAUGUAUCACUGUGCUUACUUUGACUACUGGGGUCAAGGGACUGCAGUCACCAUUAAUUCAGGAACUGCACCGACUCUGUUCCCUGUGGUUCAAUGCGGCUCUGGGACUGGAAAUCAAAUCACUGUUGGUUGUCUGGCUCAUGACUUCACCCCAAAGAGUACUUUCCAGUGGACGGAUGCCAGCGGGACCAGUUUAACUUCUGUACAAUAUUCUACAACUGUCAAUGACAACAAAUUCACAGGUCUUAGUCUGGCCCGAGUAUCCAAAUCUGACUGGGGUUCAGGGAAAUCUUUUAACUGUUCUAUGACGUAUCCUGGAGGAUCCCAAAGUGUCAAAGUUGAAAACAACACACUCCCUCCAAAGUUAACGUUGGUAUCAGUGCCAAGAGAAGACAUUCGGGCUCUGAUGUGUUCAAUUGAUGAUUUUUUUCCCAAUGAAUUGACGGUAAAAUGGAAGAAAAAUGAAAUAGAAGAAACUGGCUUCACUACUUGGCCCCCCAAAUCAUUCAGGAACACAUUUUCAGCUGUCAGUGUUCUGAAUGUGAGGAACACAGACUGGGACAGUAAAGCCGUGUACACAUGUGAGGUGACACACAAAGGCACAACAUAUAUGAAGAAGGCCUCAAAAGCUGCUGUCACAUUGGCCCUUAACCAACCAAGUCCCAAAGAAUUGUUCAACAACAACCAGGCAAAGUUGGACUGUAUCGUUUCUGGACAAGACAGUAGUGUUGUAAACGACAUGAGAAUAACUUGGCAAAUUAAUGAACACAAUGUGUCUGAUGGCAUUACUUUGACGGAAAAUUCCGGAAAUGGUCAACACAGCAAAAUCAGCACGUUGACUCGGCGUCUCUCAGAGUGGCAGACAGUCAACAAAGUGAGAUGUUCUGCCAUGAGAGACAAUAUGACACCAGUAAUUCAAGACCUGACUGUCCAUAAAGGAGAUUGGAAGAAAACAAAAGUGACCGUCCACGUCCUCCCAGAGGAGGAAAUCAGCAAAGGAAACGAGGUCACUCUAGUGUGCCUGGUCUCCAGUCUUGAACAGCAGGAUUACUACAUCGCCUGGUCUGAGUACAUCGGACAAAAGACUGGAAACUAUGUUGAUGGCAUUAACUUCCCACCUCAGAAGACCCAACAAGGCUACUCAGUAACAAGUAUUUACUACACAACCAAGGACAAGUGGAACAACCACACGUACACGUGCAACGUCUGGCCUGCUGGCAGCAAUAGUUCCAUGAAUCCACAGCCAGUGUCUAAGGCCCAGGAGUCAAAAGUGAGUGGGGGUGAAUACUACAUACAUGAUGCCGUUGAAGAGGAUGAGUUCAGCAGCUUGUGGUCCACAGCCGCCUCUUUCAUAUUCCUCUUCAUAGCCUCUCUCUUCUAUAGCAUGAUAAUCAGCCUAGUCAAGAUAAGGAGUCAAUAAGGGAUGGAACGGAUGCACAACACAGACAAGUAAAUUUGUGAUUUUUGGUAUUUCUUUUUCAUCUAGUUUUAAAAGCAUGAACAUAAUCCACAAACUACUGUAUAUUGUAAUUUCAAAAAUGUAAUACAUGAUGUUUAAACAUUCUAUUAAAGUGUAUUUUCUGUAACCUAAA